rnacentral:lncRNA from 1 species
GGAAUCUUUUCCUGAAGGGAGGGCUAGAUGACUCCCUGAAGAGCCUUCCCUAUCCCAGGUUUUCCCAACAUUGCCCUGGAUAUCCUGGAGCUUGCUGUGUAGAUCAGGCUGGCUUUGAACUCCCAGAGUGCCACCACUCUCAGCUUUGUAGAAAGAAUAUCUUACAAGCAUCACCUAGAGACACUGAGGGCGACUCGAAGGAAGAAGCGAACCAGGAUGGAAGGAGAGGUUGGAGCCACAGAGGGAAAGAAAAGCCAACAUGUUAUACUUGUCCCAGAGGUCUUUCUUGCAGACAUCUAUCACUGCAGCUGCCCACUGCCAGCUCCAGGUUCUUGGACAAGGACGAAGCUCAGGAGCCCCAGAUGACUGUAGGAAAAGGAGGAAUCAUAUGGACACACAAGUCAAGUCUCAGUCUCCAAUACUGCCCUGCUAGGCAUACAGAGAAUGUGACAUCAUUCAAAGCUCCCUUCAGUGCCCACAGCCCAGCUUCUUGCCUUUCUUCAGGGAGCUAAUAUCCUAAUUGCGGCGCAUCGUUAAUUGCUUCCAUUUCUUCAGGCAUGACUGACAGUAUCUGACUCCAACACCACCUACUCUUCUUUUUGGCUUCUGUUUCCCAGUGUGGUGAACCUGCUGAAGAGCCAUUGCAAUGCAAACCCCAUGCAGAUAACAUGUACACCAGGUUCCAUGUAUGCAGGGCCCUACCCUUCCUGCCUCUAUUCAUCUGGUUCAUUUCCUUCCCUGACCCUUUCUGUAUCUCCAUAUCCCGAGCCUCGAAUCCCAAGUUUUCAUUUCUUUGUCCUCUGCUUCGCUGAUGGGGUCUCGAGGCUUGCUCUCACUCCCCACUUGACUCUCAGCAGGCCUAAGAACUGCUGAGUGCAGGGGCAGGGGCUCAUUGAUUUAAUAGAAAUACUUUAAUAGAAAGUAGAAUCCCAGGGUCUGGGGAGAUGAAGCAGUCAUUCAACCGAUUGCCUUGCAAGCACUCAGAUCUGGGUUCAAAGCCCAGAACCCACAUAAAAAAGCCAGGUGUGCUCAUAUAUGACUGUAAUCCCAGCACUAGGGAGGCAGAGAUAUGCAGAUCCCUGGGACCUACAAGCUAGCCAGCCCAGCCCAGUUGGCAAGCUCCAGGCCAAUGAGAGAUGCCCAUGUUAAAAGGGGGGAGGGGUCUGUGGAAACACUACCCUAAGGCUGUCCCUUGGCUUCUGCUUGCAUGUGCCCAUACCUGCACAUCAGUACACACAGUGUUGUUCUGUGCAAACUUCCUCGUUUGCUAUGCACCACAUACUCCUUGCUCCUGCAGUCAUCGUAACCACACCCAGCCCAUGCCAUCUAACCAAUCCACCCAGCCCCAGAUGUGCAACUGCAGCACAUUAGCCAUCUUCCAUACAUCUGGUUCUGGGUGUGUCCGGAUGAGAAACAGAGAGAGACCUGCUUUCCCGAGUCUUUUAGUCUAAAAUGGCAAAGGGACAAAAAUAUGAUUAAUAAAAUACGGGGACAAACACUCUGGCUUGUUUUUCUGUUUGUUCGUUUUUGUUUUCUUUUUCUUUAUUUCUUUUGUUUUUGUUUUUUUCGAGACAGGGUUUCUCUGUGUAGGCCUGGCUGUCUUGGAACUCACUCCGUAGACCAGGCUGGCUGUGAACUCACAGAGAUCCGACUGUCUCUGCCUUCUUAAUGCUGGGAUCACAGAAAGAACCUCAGUGAUGGCUUAGUGGCUAAGAGCGCUGGCUGUCUGCUCUUCCGGAGGAUCCAGGUUCUGUUCCUAGCACCCACACAGUGGCUCAUAACUGUCUGCAAGUCCAGUUCCAGGGUAUCUGAUGCCAUCUUCUGAUCUCCUCAGGCACCAGGCUUGUAAAUGCUACACAGGCAUAUAUUCAAGCAAAAGCACUCAUACACCUAAAUUAAAUCACAAACAAAACAAGAACACUUUCAAUACUUGUGGAACUUUCCCAAGACCUGAGACCUCAUGUGCCCUCAGAUGGGGAAACCAGGGUGCACUCCAAGAAUGGGGAAGGCCCAAGUGCUCUCAUCCUCAGUGGUCAGGAGACAGGGUUGGGGAAUGUGGGCUCCUUUCAGGGAACCUGUGGAAGAGGGUUUAUACAGGUCUCAGCACCAGAUUUCAGUGUCUGUGGCUCUGGGUCACCCAGGAAGCCUCUGCAGACCCCUCUGUCUUCCCUGCAACAAGUCCAAGUCAUUUCAAAGAGAGUGGGGACCCUGUGGCUCUUUUGGGUUUCUGCAACUUUGUCUCCUUUAUGAGGAGGAAUGGUUUGUUCUUAGAAUGUAAGUAGGGGCUCUUCGAGUGAGAAGUGAGUGGUGUGUGCAUGUGUGUGUGUGUGUGUGUGUGUGUGUGUGUGUGUGUGUGUUUCCUUCUGUCUCUCUGUCUGCUUGACUCUCAGCCUAUUAAUACAAGCCCUGUGAUUAAUACAAGCCCCGUGUCUGGCUGUACCCCAAGCACACGUGCUCCCUGCCAUAGAGUACCACCCCUCCCAGAUCAGCCUGUUGUUUGUUCUUUCUGAUGGGCGCCAGCCUUGUAGACCCCAUGGAGGUAGAAUAUAACUUUCCAUAAAUAAACUCUAACCUGACCUACA